rnacentral:tRNA from 2 species
GCACUAAUAGUUUAACGGGAUAAAACGGGGACCUCCUAAGUCUUUGCUCCCAGUUCGAGUCUGGGUUAGUGCAUCA